GCUUUUUAAUUUUUCGUUGUGUCUUUUAUUUUUUAUGUCUCUUGGUUCAUCCCGACUCUUUAGAGGGUCACCUUGGCGCAGUGGUAUCUCUGGAGUGUAAUUUGUACCCCUCUGGGUUUGCCAGGGCAUCUCUGCAGGUCACCCCUCUUCCUCAGAGCAGUCUUUGUGUCCUCUCCUCCAUCUCCUUUGCCUCCAGUGUGUCAGCAGCUCCCUCCUGACAUCUGUGCUCUGGUCAAGUCCCCUCCCGAGUGCCUUUGUGCCCUAGAGCUGUGUUUUAUCUGCUCUGUGGCCACUCUUUCCACCUGCAGCAGGUUUUGCAUUUUUCUUUGACCUCUUGGUGAUUCUUGGCCUUUGGGCACAUGAGAACUGUCCUACCCCUGUCACAGACAGUACAAUUCACCAGGCAGUUUUACACAGGGUGAUAUUUAUUUGUCAGCCGAUGGGAGCAAUCAAAGUCUUUAGACCACACAGAGCACUGGCACUGCCUUUGUCACAGACAGAAUUACAGUCAAUAAUCAAUUGAUCUCUCUGCUCAACAGAAUCAUUUCCACAAUGGGUGCCAGUUCCUAAGUAUCUAACCCUAGUUAUAUGUGCUUACAGUUAAACCAAUCAACCAUAAAAUACACAGACAAGUAAGGGUAUGUUCAUUUACAAGGAUGUUUAUAAAUAUGUUAGUCUGGUCUACACAACUCAACCACUUGAACAAAGCUCUGAUGCACUUUAAAAAAAAAAAAAAAACAACCCAAGAGUUUGUACAUUGGGGUAGCAUUUGGGAGUUCAGGUUCCUCCUCUAGUUUUCAAUAAUUAAAUCCAUGUUGCUGCUCCCCUGAGGAAACUCACAGUCCUCCAGCUGGGGCUUGAUGAUCCUUGUGGGUCCCUUCCAACUCAGAAUAUUCCAUGAUUCUGUGAUCAAGUAACAACUCUCUGGUGAGAAAGGCUGUUAGAAUUUUGUCUACUUGCUAUAUCAAUACAAAGAGAGGAAAUAAAGUUAUCAGCAUUACCCAACACAGGGCAACAUUUGCCAGUUUAACUUGAGCCACCUUUAGGCAUUGCAUAUUGCAGUUACAUACAUCACUGUCACACACCAUGCUGGAGUCCAUGAUACUUAUGCUUUAAAAACAAGCAACUCUUCUUUGUUCCUAUUCCUGUCAAAGUCAGUUCACUCACUGACUUGCCUGGAAAUUCACUAUCAGGAUGCAUAUGAAGCCACUGGAUGUACUGAGAGUCUUCAGGACUGUGAGGAUCCUCUGUUCAGUUAACAAUGAUUUUUAUAAAUGCAGCAUCAAGAAGAGAUACUUGAUAACUGCUCGGGACAGAAAUGGAGCAUCAGCACUUGAGUCAAAUGAAAGUGAGAGGAAGAAAUGAGAAGAAAUCAAGGCACAAGUAUGAUUGUUCACAUUUGAUUCUGAGGAAGUCACUGCUGGAAAUGCUGCCACCUGCUAAUGAAGAACCUUCUUAUGCCAAGAUUCAGACUGGAAGGAAAAAUUGAUUGCUUAAGUUUGAUCAGGAUGUCGUGAGCAGACCAUUGGUGUUACAAAAAGCAAUGGCAAUCUUUUUUGUGCCUGUCUGAUGCACUGCCCAAGCACUUCUAGGGAGAGACAGUACAGGGAGACCGUCCAUCUGCAUCACUUAAUUUAAACCAGUGUUAAUUUUGUGGCUGUGUUUAAACCACUUGGGAUGUGAUACUAAAACCACCUCUGCUAUAAAACUAAGCACACUUGGGUGUGCCUAAGGGAUGGGAAUGCUGGUAUGGGAGCUACUUAGGCCAAGUUCAUAUGUGGGAACCUCAGCUGAGCCUGAUUCAAACUCUAAAUACUGUCUGAGACACUUCUGUGAGAACUGAGAGUAAUCUGAACUGUUGUGCCAAUAUUAAUAAAUUAAACUGUGAAUGUCCUGCGCUUGUAGAUUGCUUUCAGCAUGGGCCCUGAAGCUGUAAACUGUGCUUAAAUAUGAGGAAGACAGAGAGAUCUGUGUUCCAAACUCAAGGAAAUCCAGCUGAUAGCCCAGCCUUUUGCAGGAAUGCCACCAGGAUUUGUUAAAAUGAUCUGUUCAGUGAAUGGUUGUCUGGCAGUAUUAGGUGACUUUCUGUACAGGCACUGGAAUCUCCAAGAAAAGUGAAGUUCCUGAAUCAGGUUUGCUCUCACUUAAGCAAGUGCAACGAAGACAGUGCACCAUUAUUACCUGGAGUCUCACCGAUGAGAGAACCAGCUCCAUCAGCUCACCCUCACCAAAGCACACACCAGCCCCUCGGGCCGUGCCUGGUGUGGUCACAGUGUCAUCGACUGCAAGUUGGUGCUUUUAACUUGGUUAAACACCCAUUUGCUGAACAAGCAGAUGGUGUGAACCAGCAACGGAGGGAGCCCAGUGAUUGAGGGGUGGAGUUAAUGGAACUAAUUAACACUAAGAUACUCUUAUCAGUCUGAUCAUUGGCCUUUAUUAGGUAUUUAUCUGUCUCCAGGUUUCUUUUCAAGGCAGAUGUUUAAGUUACGGUUUAUACACUCCAGUGCACAUGUGUGAUAUUGGAUCUAAUUAGAAAAAAAAACUAAAUGAUGCCAAAACUAAUCCAUAGCUGUCACUCAGAUACUUGAUUACUGUGCUGCUAAUUCUGCCUUUCUUGCUCCAGUGAGUAGGGCUGACCUUACGACUUCUGUGGGCUCAGGUACUGAUGGAUUUCAACGAGGUCUUUUUGCUCAGGGUGAAUCAGGGGGCACUUAAUAAUCCAGAGUAUCUGCAAGAGCUGGUGAGGCUCCUCUCACAGAGCUGCUCUGAUGAGCAGAGUGAUGCAGCCAGUCCAAACUGAUGCUGCAGCAAGAGAGCCGUGGCCUGAAGGAAUCCUUUAAGAACUGCUUGACUAUGGAAAAUGAUGGUCCCUCUCCAAGAGAAUUUUAUGGCCUUAAGGCUUCUGUGCUCUGUGCUACAAAAGAAACUAUUUGCAAACACAGCUGGACAGAAAUAACCACAUCUGCUCAAGUGUGGCCUCGUGCUAGUGCAGAAAUGUGGAGAAAGAUAUUGCUGCAAUGAAGAUGCAAACCUAAUUUUCUACUCAAAGAGAAAUCUGGAGGCAGCAAAAACAUCUUCUUUGUGUACCACAGAAUCCGGAGCAAAGCCAUCUGCUGCUAAAGCAAUACUUAAACUCCCCCUUCCUCUCUUCCUGAAACAAACCACAGAUCCACAAUUUCCAAGUGUGCUGAAUCCACCAGGCUGCAGGAAGGCUGCUGAGGAAUAAAACAAGCUCUGGAAUCCAAGAAGAGGCGAACAGCAGUGAGCAGGGAGGAGGAAGGACCAGUAGUCAUGGGGAUGGAUUUUCCUCCACUGUGCAGUUUCCCUCCACCUUGUCAAACACCUUAUCUUGCAAUUUCAUUCUCAAUUAUUUAAUCUGUUCUGUAGUACAAAUGUUUUCCCUAUGUUGGAUUUCAUAUAUAAAUAUCUGCAGAUGGCAUAUUGCUUUCUGAACUGAUAUGACUGUACAUUAACCUGCUUGGAAAGAGCAUGCACACCCUAUUAAGUGUAUCAUUGGCCUUAUUGCAAUUAAGAUAAUGAGAUUUUCACUACAAAUUGAUAUUUUAGCUUAUACUCCACAGAUAUAAAAAUAUUCCUGAAAAGCAAAGCAUGGCACAUUGCAUUAGCACAUGGUGAAAAGGGGCAUUAUUUUUAUUAUUGUUUUUUCAGUAAAAGUUCAUAUAUUUUGUAGUCACUUAUUUACAAAUAUUAGUAUUUAAUUCAGUGUUUCCCUACUAAAUAUUUAGAGUGGACAUUUAUGGGAUAGGAAAGGAACUGUUUUUCUUAGGAUGUGAUAAGUUGCUGUAUAAAGUCUUGAAUUAGUACCUGGCUCCACUUAAGCCCUAAUAUCUCAAUCUGGGUUUUUUUUGAGAGAAUGAUUUUUGAAAAGCAGUAGUAGGAUUGUUGGGAUGAGCAAUACUGAUGAAAUUGCUGUUUAGAACUAAUUACCUGGAAAUAUUGUUGGUUGUCAAGCUACUAUAUUUGCAGAAACUAGAGGUGGGGUGGAGGGAGCCUCUGUCAUCCCCAGACAAACCUCCUGCUUCUCAUAUAUUUCUAUCUAUCCAUGAUGUGUUUGUCCAGCCUGUUUUUUAACCAUCUCUGGUAAUCCUACAUUAGGUACUUAAGAGCCUAAUUUACUGUUAGGAAGAUUCCUUAAUACCUCCCCCUAAAACUUCCUUCUCUUUAGUUUAGCCCAUUGCUUUUUAUUCCAGGUGUGGUCUGGCAAUUCUGACAUUUUAACCAAAAAUGCUACAAUCAAGCAAUGUGAAUAUACUUUUCUAAAGCAUUUCUAGAACUUGCUGCUUUUGGUUAUGUCAAAAAUACUACAAAAACAGAGCUUUGCCAAAGUACUUUAGAAAUUCUGCUUCUGGUUGUACUGUAACCCAAGGAAGUGAAUCAGGACUUGAACAUGCAGUGUGCAAGAUAGGCGUCAGAACAAGCCAUAAAAAUGCAUUAUGUGUUUAUAAAGGGAAUAAGUCAACAAAAUUAAAAGAUGUUCUGAUUCUAUUUAAAAAUUUCAAAGGUCAAUUUGCUUAUUGACAUACGCCUCUGUUUCCAAUAUAACUCUGCGCAGUCCUUCAUCUGCGGAAAAACUGGAGUGUUUAAAGUGGGAUCCUCGGUUUUAUGGUCACAUCAACCUGCUGCCUGGUGUGGAUUUAAUUGUGCUGUAAGCUGUUGUGAGUUAGAUCACAUCCAGCAUCAGAGGCCUGUGGGUGCAGCUGCUCCUGGUGUGUUCAAGCCUGAUGUCAAAGGUGUGUAUGCUGAGUGGGACCUAUGGCUGUGUAGGAGGGAUCGUGGUACAUUGUUUUCUGUCAAAUGCUGGAGUGUCUGUUUGCAAAACAGGUUAAUGGAUACCAGAAUCAUGUUUGCUUUUUAUCAAUGAUCAUGUUGUUUCUAAAGUGCUCAGUAUUAAGUGAUGGGUGAAGCGCCAUAACAGACAGUUUUUUAAAGUCUAAGUUUGUAGUAAUUUCUGUUGCACUGACAACAACGCGUUGGUGAAAAAUUCUCUGGCAUGUCAGUCCUUCGAGUUCUCCUCUUGCUUUGGCAUUUACAUGAUUCCUUGCCCAGCAGGAAUCUUGGCUGGUGGUUGAUCACUCUAAACUUUUGCUGUUGCUUAGUUGCUUCUCUCAUGUAGCUGUGCAGAAGUGCCUAUU